GUCGUAACAAGGUUUCCGUAGGUGAACCUGCGGAAGGAUCAUUAUCGUUCCUUCACCCGCACCGUGCGUACUGGUUCUCGUUUAUUGGCCUCCCCUCGCCUCGCUUUCUCACCCUCGAGGCGGCACGGUUUCUGCCGUGCCCCUCGUGGUGGGGAGGCGAGGGAGCCAGCACCCCGCUUCGGCGGAUUCGUGUGGACGAUGUGCACAUGUGUGUGCAUCGCUCCUCCCCCUGGAGCGCGUCUGGCGCGUUCUCGGUGCCUGUUCCUGGCUCCGAAGCGUGUCCUCGCGUCUCCGACCGGAUCGAAAUCACACAACUCGCUCCGAUGGAUAUCUUGGCAUGAGCAACGAUGAAGAACGCAGCCAAAUGCGAUACGUAGUGCGAAUUGCAGAAUUCAGUGAAUCAUCGAACCUUUGAACGCAAAUGGCGCUUGCAGCUUCCGGCUGCAAGCACACUUCCUCCAGUGGCGCCACCACCCCCCUCGGGCGCGCCCCCGCGCGCGCCCGGAGCGUGGCCGCCGCUCAGCGUUUCUCGCUGUGCGCCGGCUCAAGUGGCGACCGCCGGUAGAUCCGCGCGUCGGCGUGUGGCGUGCGAAGCUCUCGAGCUUUGUUUGUCCCGCGCCGAGCCGAUGUGGUAGUAGUAGCAGCGGAGACCUGACGGCUCUCGCUCUUCUCUCUCGUCGGUCAUGGAGCGUGUGGUCUGCGGGCGGGGUGCGGAGCCUGGCUCUUGUACCAUCCGAGAACUUUUCUCACCAUCGACCGCCAUGGAGUGACGUGAGGCUACCCGCUGAACUUAAGCAUAUCACUAAGCGGAGGAGAAGAAAACAACCGUGAUGCCCCUAGUAAUGGCGAAUGAAGCGGGCAGAGCUCACGCCUUAAAUCUGGCCGGCCUUCGCGCCGCCCCGAAUUGUAGUCUAGAAAGGCGCCAUCGGCCGCGCCCGGCGCUCAAAUCCCUUGGAAGAGGGUAUCGGAGAAGGUGAGAAUCCUGUACCGUGUCGGAUCGCGGCCGCACGAUGCGCCCUUGUCGAGUCGGGUUGCUUGGGAUUGCAGCUUGAAUUGGGUGGUAAAUUCCAUCUAAAGCUAAAUACUGGCUCAUGACCGAUAGCGAACAAGUACCGUGAGGGAAAGAUGCAAAGAACUUUGAAAAGAGAGUUAAAGAGUGCUUGAAAUCGGAGCGAGGAAACCCGUUUGCACCCGGCUUCGCGCCGUCGACUCAGCCGUCUCGAAGCGGUGCACUUUGUCGGCGCGGGUCCGCCGCGUCUGGUCGCGCGUCAAAAUCGCCGGGGGGGCUUCGGUGAGCCCGGACAUGUCGCGCGGUCGGCCUCGUCGGACGGAACGGGUGCAACCGACCCGUCUAGAAACACGGACCAAGGAGUCUGACACGGAUGCGAGUACCCGGGUGGCAAGCCCGCGUGCGCAAUGAAAGUGAAGGGCGUGCCCCGCCAACCGACCUUGAUCUUCUGUGAAGGGUUUGAGUCGAGCAUCACUGUCGGGACCCGAAAGAUGGUGAACUAUGCGUGA
rnacentral:rRNA from 1 species